UAGGGAAUCUUCCACAAUGGGCGAAGCCUGAUGGAGCAACGCCGCGUGUGUGAUGAAGGCUUUAGGGUCGUAAAGCACUGUUGUAUGGGAAGAAAUGCUAGAAUAGGGAAUGAUUCUAGUUCGACGGUACCAUACCAGAAAGGGACGGCUAAAUACGUGCCAA
rnacentral:rRNA from 1 species